CGGCGUGCCUAAUACAUGCAAGUCGAGCGGAGAAAUGGGAGCUUGCUCCCAUUUCUCAGCGGCGGACGGGUGAGUAACACGUGGGCAACCUGCCCUACAGACUGGGAUAACUCCGGGAAACCGGAGCUAAUACCGGGUAAUACAUAGCAUCGCAUGAUGCAACGUUGAAAGUUGGCUUUCGAGCUAACACUGUAGGAUGGGCCCGCGGCGCAUUAGCUAGUUGGUAAGGUAACGGCUUACCAAGGCCACGAAUGCGUAGCCGACCUGAGAGGGUGAUCGGCCACACUGGGACUGAGACACGGCCCAGACUCCUACGGGAGGCAGCAGUAGGGAAUCUUCCGCAAUGGACGAAAGUCUGACGGAGCAACGCCGCGUGAGUGACAAAGGCUUUCGGGUCGUAAAGCUCUGUUGUUAGGGAAGAACAAGUACCGUUCGAAUAGGGCGGUACCUUGACGGUACCUAACCAGAAAGCCACGGCUAACUACGUGCCAGCAGCCACGGUAAUACGUAGGUGGCAAGCGUUGUCCGGAAUUAUUGGGCGUAAAGCGCGCGCAGGCGGUCUCUUAAGUCUGAUGUGAAAGCCCACGGCUCAACCGUGGAGGGCCAU
rnacentral:rRNA from 1 species